rnacentral:rRNA from 1 species
UACGUAGGGUGCGAGCGUUAAUCGGAAUUACUGGGCGUAAAGCGUGCGCAGGCGGUUUUGUAAGCCAGAUGUGAAAUCCCCGGGCUUAACCUGGGAAUGGCAUUUGGGACUGCAAGGCUUGAGUUUGGCAGAGGAGACUGGAAUUCCCGGUGUAGCGGUGAAAUGCGCAGAUAUCGGGAAGAACACCCGUGGCGAAGGCGGCACUCUGGGACGGUACUGACGCUGAGACGCGAAAGCGUGGGGAGCGAACG